rnacentral:snRNA from 1 species
GGAUGUGCGGGCAAUUUGGCUAUGUCAUCUGUCACCCACUGAUUGCCAGGGCUGGUCUGGCUGAUUUGGCUGGCUAGGGGGGUGUCCCCUUCCUCCCUCCCUCCCACUCCAUGUGUCCCCUGCCAAAGCUGCGUGCUCGAAGAUAGGAGUAGCUGCUAGAACCUCCAAAUUAGCUCUCAGGGUGGCCUUGAACUCACAGCAAUCCUCCUACCUCUGCUUCCUCAGUGCUGGGAUUAAAG